CACAGCAUGAGUUAGACCUCCUCACCCGCUCAACUCAAACCUCCUGGAGAGACAGUGAAACUAUCUUGCCUGACCCUGAGCCUGCCUGGCAGGCAGAGCCUGAGCCUGCCGAGACAGGAGUGUGGGAAAGACCACCAUGGUAGGCUUGAAGAGACAAGACCAACUGGCAACAGACAAACACAAAACACAGGUGUAAAUGCACAAUGGCUGACACCUAGUGGAGACAAGCACAAGACAGGUGAAACAGAUCAGAAUGUGACAGAUUCACCAUCUUCAGAGACAGUAGUAAUGUAUUGUACUUAGACAUCACCAGUCUGCAGGCUGUGUAUUAUUGUGCUCGCUACGCACAGUGAUACAAACCAGCAGCAGACCUGUAUAAAAACUCGCCCACCCCAUAAACGAUUGGAGUUAUACCCUCUGUAUAAUUUUUUUUUUUUAAAUGUUAUUAAAAUAUUGUGGGAUUGAUCCGGUGGUUGUUUCAGAAGUAUGCCCCUGUAUCAUACUAUGAUAACAUGAUAACAGGUUUACUAAUAUUACUCUACUGUCAUGAGUAAUAAUUUGUACUGUAAUUCUCAUACUGUCCUUACAACUCCUCCUCAGGUUUGUGUUGUAAUGGAAAUGUAUUCUCCAUCAAUUUACCUGGUAAAAUAGAUAUAUAGACACACAAACAGCAGGAAUUCUUCUUCAUAACAGAGUAUCUCAAGAUGACCUCAUUCAAGUGAUCUGUAGGUAUUUAUCAAAGCCUCUUGUGAUAUGUCCUCCCAGUGAGGAGCUCAUGUAAAGCUCUCCAGCCCAUCUUUAUUUAGGUCUGCUGAGGACUGUCUCAACUACCUUUAGAGAACUACACAGAUCAACAUGUUUCCUACCACAGGAAUACUCUUACUGACAGUAUAUCUAACAGGUGCUCACUGUGAAUAACUCACUCAGCCAGCCUCUAUGACUGUCCAGCCAGUCAACCACUG
rnacentral:lncRNA from 1 species